GCGGCGUAUUAACUUGUUGGUGAGGUAACGGCUCACCAAGGUAACGAUGCGUAGCCGAACUGAGAGGUUGAUCGGCCACACUGGGACUGAGACACGGCCCAGACUCCUACGGGAGACAGCAGUUAGGAAUAUUCGUCAAUGGGGGAAACCCUGAACGAGCAAUGCCGCGUGAGUGAUGACGGUCCUUUGGAUUGUAAAACUCUGUUGUAUGGAAAAAAUGACUAGGUUAGGAAAUGAACCUAGUGUGAUGGUACCAUACCAGAAAGCCCCGGCUAACUACGUGCCAGCAGCCGCGGUAAUACGUAGGGGGCGAGCGUUAUCCGGAUUUAUUGGGCGUAAAGCGUGUGUAGGCGGUUUGUUAAGUUUAAGAUUAAAGCCUGGGGCUCAACUCCAGUUCGUCUUAAAAACUGGCAGACUAGAGUGCGGUAGAGGCAAACGGAAUUUCUAGUGUAGCGGUGAAAUGCGUAGAUAUUAGAAGGAACACCAGUGGCGAAAGCGGUUUGCUGGGCCGUUACUGACGCUGAGGCACGAAAGCGUGGGGAGCAAAUAGGAUUAGAUACCCUAGUAGUCCACGCCGUAAACGAUGAGUACUAAGUGUUGGGGUUUCCCAGUGCUGAAGCUAACGUAUUAAGUACUCCGCCUGAGUAGUACGGUCGCAAGGCUGAAACUCAAAUGAAUUGACG
rnacentral:rRNA from 1 species